rnacentral:rRNA from 1 species
AACGAACGCUGGCGGCAUGCCUAACACAUGCAAGUCGAACGAGACCUUCGGGUCUAGUGGCGCACGGGUGCGUAACGCGUGGGAACCUGCCCUUAGGUUCGGAAUAACUCCCCGAAAGGGGUGCUAAUACCGGAUAAUGUCUUCGGACCAAAGAUUUAUCGCCUUUGGAUGGGCCCGCGUUGGUUUAGCUAGUUGGUAGGGUAAAAGCCUACCAAGGCGACGAUCCGUAGCUGGUCUGAGAGGAUGAUCAGCCACACUGGGACUGAGACACGGCCCAGACUCCUACGGGAAGCAGCAGUGGGGAAUAUUGGACAAUGGGCGAAAGCCUGAUCCAGCAAUGCCGCGUGAGUGAUGAAGGCCUUAGGGUUGUAAAGCUCUUUUACCCGGGAUGAUAAUGACAGUACCGGGAGAAUAAGCUCCGGCUAACUCCGUG